AAAAAAAAAAAAAAAAAAAAAAAAAAAAAAAAAAGAUUUUUUUCCUCCUUUUUUUUUU
rnacentral:ribozyme from 1 species